AAAGGGUUUACUGGUCUUGGAUGGGCUCACGGCCUAUCAGCUUGUUGGUGAGGUAAUGGCUCACCAAGGCGACGACGGGUAGCCGGCCUGAGAGGGUGACCGGCCACACUGGGACUGAGACACGGCCCAGACUCCUACGGGAGGCAGCAGUGGGGAAUAUUGCACAAUGGGCGAAAGCCUGAUGCAGCGACGCCGCGUGAGGGAUGACGGCCUUCGGGUUGUAAACCUCUUUCAGCAGGGAAGAAGCCACAAGUGACGGUACCUGCAGAAGAAGCGCCGGCUAACUACGUGCCAGCAGCCGCGGUAAUACGUAGGGCGCAAGCGUUGUCCGGAAUUAUUGGGCGUAAAGAGCUCGUAGGCGGUUUGUCGCGUCUGCUGUGAAAGCCCGGGGCUUAACCCCGGGUGUGCAGUGGGUACGGGCAGACUAGAGUGCAGUAGGGGAGACUGGAAUUCCUGGUGUAGCGGUGGAAUGCGCAGAUAUCAGGAGGAACACCGAUGGCGAAGGCAGGUCUCUGGGCUGUUACUGACGCUGAGGAGCGAAAGCAUGGGGAGCGAACAGGAUUAGAUACCCUGGUAGUCCAUGCCGUAAACGUUGGGCACUAGGUGUGGGGGACAUUCCACGUUUUCCGCGCCGUAGCUAACGCAUUAAGUGCCCCGCCUGGGGAGUACGGCCGCAAGGCUAAAACUCAAAGGAAUUGACGGGGGCCCGCACAAGCGGCGGAGCAUGCGGAUUAAUUCGAUGCAACGCGAAGAACCUUACCAAGGCUUGACAUAUACCGGAUC
rnacentral:rRNA from 2 species